rnacentral:rRNA from 1 species
CUUACCUGGUCUUGACAUCCACAGAACCUGGCAGAGAUGCCGGGGUGCCUUCGGGAACUGUGAGACAGGUGCUGCAUGGCUGUCGUCAGCUCGUGUUGUGAAAUGUUGGGUUAAGUCCCGCAACGAGCGCAACCCUUAUCCUUUGUUGCCAGCGGUCCGGCCGGGAACUCAAAGGAGACUGCCAGUGAUAAACUGGAGGAAGGUGGGGAUGACGUCAAGUCAUCAUGGCCCUUACGACCAGGGCUACACACGUGCUACAAUGGCGCAUACAAAGAGAAGCGACCUCGCGAGAGCAAGCGGACCUCAUAAAGUGCGUCGUAGUCCGGAUUGGAGUCUGCAACUCGACUCCAUGAAGUCGGAAUCGCUAGUAAUCGGAAUCAGAAU